CAGAUAAAAAGAUAGACUUGAAGGCACAAAACAUGGACAGACGGAUGGAAAGGUAGACUUGAAAGAUAGUCUUGGAGGCACACAACAUACAUGGAUGGAUGGAAAGACUUGAGGGCAUACAACAUAGAUGAAUAGAGCGGAAGGGUAGAUGGAAAGACUUGAAGGUACACAACAUACAUGGAUAGAUUGGAUGGACAGAUAAAAAGAUAGACUUGAAGGCACAAAACAUGGAUGGAUGGAUGGAAAGGUAGACUUGAAAGAUAGUCUUGUAGGCACAAAACAUGGAUGGAUGCAAAGGUAGACUUGAAAGAUAGUCUUGUAGGCACAAAACAUGGAUGGAUGGAAAGGUAGACUUGAAAGAUAGUCUUGUAGGCACAAAACAUGGAUGGAUGGUAAGAUAGACUUGAAAGAUAGUCUUGUAGGCACAAAACAUGGAUGGAUGGAAAGGUAGACUUGAAAGAUAGUCUUGUAGGCACAAAACAUGGAUGGAUGGA